rnacentral:rRNA from 1 species
AGUGAACGCUGGCGGUAGGCCUAACACAUGCAAGUCGAACGGCAGCACAGUAAGAGCUUGCUCUUACGGGUGGCGAGUGGCGGACGGGUGAGGAAUACAUCGGAAUCUACUUUUUCGUGGGGGAUAACGUAGGGAAACUUACGCUAAUACCGCAUACGACCUACGGGCGAAAGCAGGGGAUCUUCGGACCUUGCGCGAUUGAAUGAGCCGAUGUCGGAUUAGCUAGUUGGCGGGGUAAAGGCCCACCAAGGCGACGAUCCGUAGCUGGUCUGAGAGGAUGAUCAGCACCACGGGAGCUAGGAACGGGCCAGACUCCUACGGGAGGCAGCAGUGGGGAAUAUUGGACAAAGGGGGCAAGCCUGAUCCAGCCAUACCGCGUGGGUGAAGAAGGCCUUCGGGUUGUAAAGCCCUUUUGUUGGGAAAGAAAAGCAGCAGGUUAACACCCCGCUGUUCUGACGGUACCCAAAGAAUAAGCACCGGCUAACUUCGUG